rnacentral:rRNA from 1 species
GAUGAACGCUAGCGGCAGGCCUAACACAUGCAAGUCGAGGGGUAAUUUUCCCGAGCAAUCGGGAAGAACGACCGGCGCACGGGUGAGUAACGCGUAUGCAACCUACCUUUAACUGGGGAAUAGCCCGAAGAAAUUCGGAUUAAUACCCCAUAAUAUUUUGGAAUCACAUGGUUUCAUAAUUAAAGUUCCAACGGUUAGAGAUGGGCAUGCGUGACAUUAGUUAGUUGGUGAGGUAACGGCUCACCAAGACGAUGAUGUCUAGGGGGUCUGAGAGGAUGGUCCCCCACACUGGUACUGAGACACGGACCAGACUCCUACGGGAGGCAGCAGUGAGGAAUAUUGGGCAAUGGACGCAAGUCUGACCCAGCCAUGUCGCGUGCAGGAUGACAGUCUUAUGGGUUGUAAACUGCUUUUAUACAGGAAGAAACCCCCCGACGUGUCGGGGGCUGACGGUACUGUAUGAAUAAGCAUCGGCUAACUCCGUGCCAGCAGCCGCGGUAAUACGGAGGAUGCAAGCGUUAUCCGGAUUUAUUGGGUUUAAAGGGUGCGUAGGCGGGAGAUUAAGUCAGUGGUGAAAUCCUGCAGCUUAACUGCAGAACUGCCAUUGAUACUGGUUUCCUUGAGUACAGUUGAGGUGGGCGGAAUGUGUAGUGUAGCGGUGAAAUGCUUAGAUAUUACACAGAACACCAAUUGCGUAGGCAGCUCACUAAACUGUUACUGACGCUGAGGCACGAAAGCGUGGGGAGCAAACAGGAUUAGAUACCCUGGUAGUCCACGCUGUAAACGAUGAUCACUCGUUGUUGGCGAUAUACAGUCAGCGACUAAGCGAAAGCAUUAAGUGAUCCACCUGGGGAGUACGAUCGCAAGAUUGAAACUCAAAGGAAUUGACGGGGGCCCGCACAAGCGGAGGAACAUGUGGUUUAAUUCGAUGAUACGCGAGGAACCUUACCUGGGCUUAAAUGCAGUAUGACUUCCGCCGAAAGGUGGAUUCCCUUCGGGGCAAAUUGCAAGGUGCUGCAUGGUUGUCGUCAGCUCGUGCCGUGAGGUGUCGGGUUAAGUCCCAUAACGAGCGCAACCCCUAUCGUUAGUUGCCAGCGAGUAAUGUCGGGGACUCUAGCGAAACUGCCGGUGUAAACCGUGAGGAAGGUGGGGAUGACGUCAAAUCAGCACGGCCCUUAUGUCCAGGGCUACACACGUGUUACAAUGGCCGGUACAAAGGGUAGCUACCUGGUGACAGGAUGCUAAUCUCUAAAGCUGGUCUCAGUUCGGAUCGAAGUCUGCAAUUCGACUUCGUGAAGGUGGAUUCGCUAGUAAUCGCGCAUCAGCAACGGCGCGGUGAAUACGUUCCCGGGCCUUGUACACACCGCCCGUCACACCACGAAAGUUGGCGAUACCUGAAGUUACUGGGCCAACCCGACACUCAACUAAGUAUACUAAGUCCCAUUUGGCUAAGUAUAUUUAGUUGAGUGCCGGGAGGCAGGUACCGAAGGUAUGGCUGGCGAUUGGGGUG